AAAUAAUCACUUCAGGUCAAGGUGUAGGAACAGACGCAGUAGUCGACAAGAUGGUAUCCAUCAACAGAUGCAGCACAGAUAACUGAAAUAGUCAGUGCUUGUGGCUGACUACGAACAAAUCAGUUUCUUCAGCAUCAAACUAUAUGCCAGGCAUCACCAAAUGGCGGACCCCGGUCCGGAUCCGGACCGAGCGAUGGUUCUGUCCGGACCCGUGACCAAUCUGCGGCCGGGUGACAGCGGGGAGGGAGGGUGUGGCGGGUGGCGGGGCGCCGUGCAACGCUAAAAAUGUUUAGUCAAUACUUUGUUUGCACAUGUUUUUCCUAAAGAAGCCACUUUUUAUUUAUUGUUUUCUGAAGAUGUUGACUUUUUUUUUUAACUUGAAUAGUAGGCUUUCAAUUUUUAGGCUGGGACAUCUUCAAGAAAAAAAAUAAAACUUUAAUCAAUGCUAUGUUUGCACAUAUUCUUUUUCCUAAAAGAGCCACUUUUUAUUCAUUUUCUCCUGAUGAUGUUGACUGUUUUACUUGAAGUGUAGGCCUUUAAUUCUUUAGGCUGGGACCUCAUUAA